rnacentral:misc_RNA from 1 species
GUGAAGAACGUAGCGAAAUGCGAUAAGUAGUGUGAAUUGCAGAAUUCAGUGAAUCAUCGAAUCUUUGAACGCACAUUGCGCCCUUUGGUAUUCCAAAGGGCAUGCCUGUUCGAGCGUCAUUUGUACCCUCAAGCUUUGCUUGGUGUUGGGCGUCUUGUCUCUAGCUUUGCUGGAGACUCGCCUUAAAGUAAUUGGCAGCCGGCCUACUGGUUUCGGAGCGCAGCACAAGUCGCACUCUCUAUCAGCAAAGGUCUAGCAUCCACUAAGCCUUUUUUUCAACUUUUGACCUCGGAUCAGGUAGGGAUACCCGCUGAACUUAAGCAUAUCAAUAAGCGGAGGA